rnacentral:misc_RNA from 1 species
AUCAUCAAUCCCACGGGUUUCUCACCCGUGUGGACUUGGAACUGGGCGUCUGCCUCCCAAGGCUCGCCUCAAAUGACUUAGUGGGAACUUCUCGACCUACGCCUGACGUGAUAAGUUUCGUCUCGGCCGGUCCUGAGGCCCGCUCACAACCACCAAUCUUUUGA